CCAUCCUCCCUUCCACCCCCAAUGGAGAACCAACCCCAAUUGGAGAUUAGUCACCAGAAUUCUUUGAUUUUUUCUAUCUGAAUGCUGACCACCAUCAAUACUUGGAGCUAUAGAAAAUCAUCGCCAGAAGCUAGGUUCUAAAGGAGGAUUUUAGGAUUAGUUGGAUUGUCUACACGUUAUUUGUGCAAGGUAAGCAAUGAUCUGUCUUUCCUAAAUUUUUAAUAUUUAUAUAAUAUUUUUUAACAUCGAAUAAAUUGUUUAUCGAUUAAUAUGUGAUUUAUGAAUUUUAUGAGAAGAUAUUUUGAAUGAAAAAUAGAUAUAUAAAUUGGAGUAAUAUUUUUCAU
rnacentral:lncRNA from 1 species